GUGCCAGCCGCCGCGGUAAUACGUAGGUGACAAGCGUUAUCCGGAAUUACUGGGCGUAAAGCGCACGCAGGCGGCUGAACAAGUCUGACGUGAAAUAUCCCGGCUUAACUGGGAGGGGUCGUUGGAAACUGUUUGGCUUGAGGCGACGAGAGGGGUGCAGAAUUCCCGGUGUAGUGGUGGAAUGCGUAGAUAUCGGGAGGAAUACCAGUGGCGAAAGCGGCACCCUGGCGUUAGCCUGACGCUCAGGUGCGAAGGCGUGGGGAGCGAACGGGAUUAGAAACCCUCGUAGUCC
rnacentral:rRNA from 1 species